CAAAUGUGUGUAAGAACCAACGAAAUAAACCCGUACUAGGAGGUCCUCAAUGGGUUCAGGGUAUACAAAGUUGCAUACAAGAGCUUCUUUCACGUCGUUCUACUUUAUAAGUGCAUUUUUCAAAGCAGCCAAAAAUUAUUUAAGGAAACAAUGAAGUUUCAGUCAGUCAGAGUAAAAAGAUUUUCAUGAGGCUAUAAGAGCAAACUAUUUUUAAUUAUCCGAAAUCUGAUUCUUAUAGAGAGCUGAUGUAAGAAACAUGGCGGCCAUAAACGAAUCCAUUGAUCUGAUCUUCUUUAAAUUGGCUUUUCAAUUAAGAUGUGAAUGUAUAGUUUUUCCUUAAGAUAUCAUCAAGAAAACAUAUCUUUAAAUGGAUUCUUGCCGAUUUGGUGAAAACGAUACGAGGUUUCGAAGUUUCGAAAUAAACUUGAUUAACAGCAGAAUCCAAGUUCCAAAUUGAGAGUUACAAUUUUGUAUAAUCUGAUAUGUACGGUUGUUCUUGAAGACGGAUGAUUAUUCAGAUGCCUAUUUAUAAUAACUAAGAAAAUAUAUAAUUUAUAGGAAUGGUUUCUUCUACCCAACACAUUAAUUUUCAAAAACAAAGCAAGAGACUUGACACUUGGUGUUAUCUAGAGAUCAGUUGUAAAACCCUGGAACUUUUGGCUUGAAGAUAUUUUGAAGAAAGUUGCCACAUACGAGCGCUUUCGGGAACAGUUAGUCGGAUUUGUCUUCCAGGCCCGAAAAGCCUGGCAUGCCGGAAAGGCCACCAUGGCUAGUGGGAUGAUUUGACACGUAAG